GAUGAAUGCUGGCGGCGUGCCUAACACAUGCAAGUCGAGCGGCAGCGCGAGUAGUUUACCACUUGGCGGCGAGCGGCGGACGGCUGAGUAACGCGUAGGAACGUGCCCCAAAGUGAGGAAUAACUGCCCGAAAGGGUGGCUAAUGCCGCAUAUGGUCUUCGGAUUAAAGUCUUCGGACGCUUUGGGAGCGGCCUGCGUUAGAUUAGGUAGUUGGUGAGGUAAUGGCUCACCAAGCCGACGAUCUAUAGCUGGUCUGAGAGGAUGAUCAGCCAGACUGGGACUGGGACACGGCCCAGACUCCUACGGGAGGCAGCAGUGAGGAAUCUUCCACAAUGGGCGAAAGCCUGAUGGAGCAACGCCGCGUGAAGGAUGAAGGCCUUAGGGUUGUAAACUUCUUUUAUAAGUGAAGAAUAUGACGGUAACUUAUGAAUAAGCACCGGCUAACUACGUGCCAGCCGCCGCGGUAA
rnacentral:rRNA from 1 species